AUUGAACGCUGGCGGCAUGCCUUACACAUGCAAGUCGAACGGCAGCGCGGGAGCAAUCCUGGCGGCGAGUGGCGAACGGGUGAGUAAUAUAUCGGAACGUGCCCAGUAGUGGGGGAUAGCCCGGCGAAAGCCGGAUUAAUACCGCAUACGACCUACGGGUGAAAGGGGGGGAUCGCAAGACCUCUCGCUAUUGGAGCGGCCGAUAUCAGAUUAGGUAGUUGGUGGGGUAAAGGCCUACCAAGCCUGCGAUCUGUAGUGGGUCUGAGAGGACGAACGGAGACAUUGGGACUGAGACACGGCCCAGACGCCUAAGUGAGGGAGCAGUGGGGAAUUUUGGACAAUGGGCGCAAGUCUGAUCCAGCAAUGCCGCGUGCAGGAAGAAGGUUUUCGGGUUGUAAACCGCUUUUGUCAGAGAAGAAAGCGUAUGGGCUAAUAUCUUGAGGGGAUGACGGUACCUAAAGAGAAAGCACCGGCUAACUACGUGCCAGCCGCCGCCGUAAUAC
rnacentral:rRNA from 1 species